ACCGCAUACGAUCUACGGAUGAAAGUGGGGGAUCGCAAGACCUCAUGCUCGUGGAGCGGCCGAUAUCUGAUUAGCUAGUUGGUAGGGUAAAAGCCUACCAAGGCAUCGAUCAGUAGCUGGCCUGAGAGGACGACCAGCCACACUGGAAGUGAGACACGGUCCAGACUCCUACGGGAGGCAGCAGUGGGGAAUUUUGGACAAUGGGCGAAAGCCUGAUCCAGCAAGGCCGCGUGAGUGAAGGAGGCCUUCGGGUUG
rnacentral:rRNA from 1 species